rnacentral:rRNA from 1 species
CCGGGAAAAAUUAGGGUUCAAAGCGGAUUCACCUUUUCCCCCGAUCUUUAGCAUGGGAUAAGGAAUAGGCCCUGUCCCCCCUAUUUUCCAGUGGUUUUGGAGACCGGGGUAAAUGAUUAAUAGGAAAAGUUGGGGCCUUUAUAUUUAAUUGUCAGAGGGGAAAUUCUUGGAUUUAUGAAAGAUUAACUUCUGCGAAAGCAUCUGCCCAAGGAAUGUUUUCAUUAAUCAAGAACGAAAGUUAGGGGAUCGAAGACGAUCAGAUACCGUCGUAGUGUUAACCAUAAACGAUGCCGACCAGCGAUUAGGAGACGUUGAAUACAAAACACCACCCAUCGUGUGUCGGUCGCUCUUGGCUGGAGGGUCCCCCUCCAGCGGGGAUCGCGCGAGCCGGAA